ensembl:lncRNA
CAGAUAGUUGGGAUUACAGGCAGGUAGGUGCUACCAUGGCCUGGCUGGGAACUUUGCUGUUGCACAUAACGAAACAUUCAAACCAUCUUCUUGGAAGUAAUACAUUUGGGGGACUUACGGGAAUGAAGUGGCUUAGAAAAUGUAUACAAAGACAAGAGAAGAAGACAUUGUCCUUACAGAAAGUUAAUGGUAGGGGGAAAAAGGGUGAAGGAUGUCGGAUGAUGGAGGUGGCAGGACGUGUGUAUGGUCGCCACUGCUACUUCAGCCCAGGGCGGCCCUUCCUGAUCUCAGGAAGGGAGAGGCUUUGUUCGGGAUUAAAGAAUGUGCAGCCGGUCUGCACAUUAAUGUGUAUUUGCUGGGCUGCAGACAGGGAGGACAUUGGCCGGACUGCUUGAUCAGAGGUCGGACAGGAAUGUCCUGUGGAGAGAAACUGAUUGCCCCUCCGCCUUUCUUUUCCAUUAUUCAUUAUAAUUAUUGUUUUUCUUUUUUAAAACGUGGAAUCAGAAUGGACUCAUGUUCUAACGCAGAGGUCACCAGAUGAGGGGUGUGGCAGCUCGGGAGUGUGCAGGACCAUCCCUAGGGCAGGAAAGUUGCUGGUUUAGCGGGCAGAUUCCCGUGGGGUUUCUCUUCCAAGGUGGAGCCUCAGAGGUUACCAGGAGGUACAGUCAGGACAGCAGGGCACUGCGAGGGGAAGCCAAGGAAGGACUUUGGCCCUGUGCUCAGGCUGUACUUUGUGUGCGCUCUGGAAUUCAUCAUCUGGUUGGACCAGAUCAGCCUUGUGAAGUAGAUAAGGGGCCUACAGGAACUGCUGACUGAAGCUAAAGGCAGGAAGCGAAAACAAGCACAUGGGAAAGAGAGAGCAGAGGCAUAGCUCUGUCUGGGACAGACAGCCCUUUCGAAAAGCAGACAGGUGUGGGCCUGGGCUGUCCGAGGUGUCGAUCUCAGCCAGUGAGAAUGCUCAUGCUUCAUCCGUGCUGUACCUUUGGUCUCAGUACUUCUGUGCUGUUUACGUAACAUACAUAUGUGAUAAUGCUAACGUAAAAUUUGGCAAUGUGGAUUUCAGAAGCUGAUGUGCUGCUGGGCAUGGUGGCACAUGCCUAUAAUCCCCAGGACAAAGGAGGCUGAGGCAGGAGGAUCACUGUGAGUUCAAGGACAGCCCGGGCUACAAAGUGAGUUCAAGACCAGUGUGAACUAUGUAGUGAGAUACUGUCUCAAAAAUAAACAAACAAAAAGAAGCUGAUGUGCUCCUCGGGGCCUCAGAGCCCCAGGACUUCAGAGCACCAUGAUUCGUGAGGAAUCCCUCCCUGAGUCCUCCACCACUUCAGCAUCAGUUUGGGUGGGAACAGGUAACUUUUUGCUUUUGUUUUUGUUUUGUUUAGGACCAGAAAAUCAGUGUCAGAAAAUCAGAGACUGGAGCCUCCUGUGGAAAUUGAAUUCACUUGCCUCAGAGUCUGUAAGAAAGGACCUACUGCAAAGAGAUUUUAUUUUAAAUUUAUAUGUCAUAUAUAAAAUUUAUUAUAUAUUUCAUUUACAUGUAGUAUGUAUUAUGAAUAUACAUAUAAUUCAAAAUGCUAUUGUUUAAUAUCAGACUGAAUUACUUUUGGUUUUGUUUUUUUUUUUGGUACUAGGGAUCAAACUUGAGACCUUGCACUUGCAAGGCAAGCGCAGGAACCACUGAGCUAAAUCCCUGGCCCCUACUUUUGAUUUUUAAAAAUUUGUUUUGUUUUUUUGUUUUUUGAGACACAGUCUCGCAAUGGAAUACAGGCUGCCCUUGAACUCGCUAUGUAGCCCAGGCUGGCCUGUUCUCCUGCCUCAGCCUCCCAAGUGCUGGGAUUACAGGCUUGUGCCACCACACUGGCAUUGAAUUUCCUUUGUUACAUGUAAACAGUGUAAAAUGUGGCUUUAGCAGUUAAAAAAAUAAAGACAAAAUCUCCAUGUCUCAGUUCUGCAUAGUUUUCUGUCUAAUCUCACGUGCAACAGAAUGAAGCAACCUUUUCGAAAUAUCCCACAAAUUACUAAACUAACUGGGAAGAAUGUUGGUUGUUGCUGAAGACUUUUGUUUCUGGGACUGCACAUCACAAAAUAAGAUCAUGAAUAUUUAAGAUGUAAACCAGCUGUUUGUGGUGGCACACACCUGUGAUCCCAGCACCCAGGAGGCUGAGGCAGGAGGAUCGCCAGGAGUUCAAGGGUUCAAGGCCAGGCUGGGCUACAUAGUGAGAUCCUGUCUCAAAAAAAGAAAAAAGAAAGAUGUAAACCAGGAGGUUUUGUGUCAUUUGAGAAAAGAAUAGUUGUUGUUGUUGCUGUUGUUACUGAUACUGACGAUAGAACCCGGAGCUGUGGGCAUGCUCAGCAAAACCUCUACCACUGAGCUACAUCCUCAGUACUGAAUGUAUUUAUUUAUUUGUUUAUGUAUCACAAUAUGGGGAUUGAACCCAGGCCCUCUGCACUGAGCUACAUCCCCAGUUCUUUUUAGUUUUUAAUUCUGAGACAUGAACUUGCUAAGUUGAACGUAGCCUAUGCUGUGUUUGAACUUACAGUCCUCCUGCCUCAGCCUCCUAAAGUUCAUAGGCCACCGCAUCUAGCUCAGAAUAAUUCUUUUUUUUUUUUUCAGAAUAAUUCUUAAUGCACCAAAGUGUGUCCCCAAAAACAAUUUAUGGCUAUGAAGAAGUAUUUUGCUUUCAGAUUUUUGUUUUGCUUUUAGAUUUUUACCAGUUAUACUAUCCAUGAACUAUUCAUUACAUCUUAUUCUAAAUAAAGCAUUUAGUACUCCUUGCAAGUGCUCCACCUACUUUAGCUUUACUCAAUUCCCACUGAAUUUAGAAAUAAUACUGGGCUGGGGAUUUAGCUCAGUGGCACCUCACCUGCCUCAAAAGUUCAAGGUCCUGAGUUCAAUACCCUGUACCAAAAAACAAAAAAGAAAGAAAGAGAAAUAAUACAAAAUGUAAUACAGACUUUUUCCUCCUUAUUUGGUAAUCAAACAUCUUUCUAAAUUUCCUUUCACAUUUAUUACCCUAUUACAGAAUGAUAAAAAGUUUCUAAAACCUUUGCCUUGUACAUGAAAAUGAACCACACAUUUGAAUGAAGGCUCUGUGAUUACAGCUCUUUCUGUUGUGACUACAGGGGGUAUUUUAUUUCGUUUAUUAUCCUGCCUUGGGAUUUCCAUGGGAAGCACCAGCUGCUCAGGCACAGAUCCUGAAGGCCAACUCUGUGGCUCACGGUGACCGCAGUGCUGCCCUAAAAGGAUCUUUGUUAUAGAGGGCCUUUGUUAGCAGAGAUGCAGCCUCUCACGGGGAAGGCAGGUUCUCAGGCAGAGAUGGCACCUUGGCCCCAAAACCCUGCGGGGUAGAAACCUAAUAUACUCACAGGUCCUGAUAUAGAGCCUUACAAUUAGACAUUGUGUCAGGACAAAGCUUCGCAGGAGAUGUGAUUAGAAACUAGCAUCUGUAGGUACCAAACAAUUUCCAGAGAGCAAACAUAUCCCACUUCCCUUGUUUAACCUCAUGGGGAUUUCACCCCAGGUAUAAAUUCCUUAAUUCGUGACCUGUCUCUGAGGUAUGUAGAUUCCAGGGCCAAGCCCGAGAGGCCGGGGUGCUGGCCCCAAGUUCUGAUAACGGCUGCAUAACCUGAACGUCCCCCUUUGCACAGUGCACACAGUGCCAAGUUCAGCCACCUCCUCUCUGACCCUCGCGGGGAGUGACCCUCUCUGCUUUACUAACCCAGGGCCUUUCCUGUUGGUUGGCUUUGUUUUGCUCAGAGACAGAAUCCCAGAGGCAAAUACCAAGGCGCAUGCCCUCAGCCCUCCCAGUCUCCAGUCAAGGGCGAUCCAAGGAAUUGCAGCGCAGAGGUGGCCCUCAGCAGCUAUCCAGAACUCCAUUCACUCAUUUAACAAAUAUUUCCUGAAUGCCUCUGAUGCACUGGUGACAUUCAUGGCCUAGGGCACAUUGGUGAACAGAUUUCUCCAGGUACUUGGACUCCAACGCAAGGUUCUUGUUUUUCCUGGUGGGUUCAGAUAGUGGGGAUUUGCACUUCCGGCACGCGCCGUGACAGUUUGUCCACAUGCAGUGUGUUUUACCAACCAGUCUCUUUCCUGGAGACCUGGUCUGAAUUGCACUUUGAAUCAGGGCAGUUUAAGUCUUCCGAGGCCACAAACUCCAUGCAGACACGGCUACCACCCCAGAGUGCUGAGGCUUAGCCUCUGGCCACACAUCAGACGUGUCCACACGCCUUCCACUCCCUGUCCUGCUCGCUGGCACCAAACCCCGCCCACUCGCGGAAAGUACCAUCUUUUCAAGUCCUCACCAAGUUGGUUAUACUUGAUGAUGGGAUAAAUGCGUUCAAAGUGAGGAGUGUUUUGAGGAGCACUAAUGGAUUUUUUUUUGGGGGGGGUACCCGGGAUCAAACUCAGGACCUUGCACUUUUGAGGCAGGCGCCAGAACCACUGAGCUAAAUCCCCAGCCUGAGGAGAACUAAUGGAAAUGUCUUUUACUCUCAUUGUUUCUAUGAAAUUUAAAUGAUCACUGUACAUAUAUUUAUAUAUUUUUUAAUCACUGUAUAUUUUGAUCACAUGUCAUAUACAGCAGUCCAAGUACUUCUAAUAAAGAGUAAUAAGAUCAGCUGCCUGCCUGGAAAGUGCAAGGUCCUGAGUUUGAUCCCUGGUACCAAAAAGAAAAAAAAAGAAUAAUAAGAUCAGAAAUCUGUGUGUGUGGAAGCCCGAUUUUUAUUAACAACAGUAAAUAAGAGAAAACAAUUCAAAAAUAUGACAUUUUGUAGUAAUAGAAAAAAAUGGCAAAAAAUACUUCUUUAACUUAAUGCUAUACAAGUGGCUUGUUAGUUAUUACUGCUAAUUGUACUGUUAGUUAUUGUUCAAUGUUGAUUGAGACAGCAAGGAUGCAGCCAUUUCUUGCAAGUUCUAUUUCAUGUGAGGUAGACUUCAUUUCAAACCCCAGGUUUAUAUAACAAAUGCAGUUGAAAUUCUCAACUUUCAUCUUCAUGCUGCUUGUAUAACACACAGGUUGAUCCCAGCAUGUCUAACUGUGGGUGUCAGUCAGAAAAUUUUAGGUUACUUCUGGGAACGUUUUUACAAGAAAACUGGUAAGAACAGUGGCUGGUCUGUAGGGAGUGGCCCUUGAGGCCCGAGAGAAGGCUGUUUCCCCCAUCGUGUUCAGUGGUGAGCGUCAUAGCCAGAAAGUCCUGUCCAAAGGCGUGCUAGGCAUAUCCCACGGGUGCCAGCAUAGAUUGAGCUGAAAUGGAGCCCCUGGCCCAUGGGCUACAGGUCCUCUGCGAAAGCCAGUGCCGCUGAGGGUGCCAGGCAUGAGGUCUCUGGCGCUAGAGCUGGCCUGGUACACUUGGGGUCUAGAAUGGAGUGACACUAGACAACCAGUGCUGGGGCUUUCUUACCCACCGUGUCUCCCCUGGGCAUCCUCUGUCUCAAGGGAAAGUUAUUGCAUGGAUUGGCAGGUCCACCACAUCCAGGGACACAUCACCGGAUUAAGCAAUUUGAUUAUCAUGUUUGUUGAUGUAAUUUUAUUCCUGUUUCUUGGAGUUCAUUAGGCUUCUCUGAUCUUUCGGAUUUUGUUUGUUUGUUUGUUUUUGGGGUUUUUUUUGGUACCAGGGAUCAAACUCAUGUGCUUGCGCUUGCACAGUAGGCAACAAAACCACUGAGCUAAAUCCCCGGCCCAUCUUUGGGAUUUUAAUUCAGAAGAUUCUGCCAUUAUGUCUAGUGUGCCCCCAGAGCCUCAUGCAGUCAUGGGUGUGGCUUUUUCAGAGGUGGCUGAAUCUAGAGUGUGUGACACUGGGAUCAAGGGUGUGUGAUUACUAAAUCAGUCCACUGAGUGGUUUGGCACAGCCCUAAACUGGGUGGCCUAGAUAGAAUAUAAAAGGGGCAGAAGAAAGCUGCUAAGUUCACUUGUUGGUGGUCACUUGUUGCUUGUAGCUCACUCGCUUGGUGCCAUCUGCCUUGUUUUCUGCCUGCCAUGGACUGUUUCUCCUCUGCGAUGCCCCUCUGCCUCACUACCCUGCUUUAGAGCCAGCCAAGUAUGGACUGAAACCUCUACACACUGAGAGCCAAAUAAACCUCUCCUCCUUUAACUUUGGGUGUCAGGCGUUUUGUCUCGGCAACAGGGAAGUAACCAAGACACUGGGGAACCGGGACACAUGCUUGUGGCAUCUUGGGCCUUUUCACACUUCCUUCCCCUCCAGCUCUGUUCUCCUCCACCCCAGAACUCGACUUUCUGUCCCCCACGCCCUCCUCUAGGAACUCCAAUUCCUCAUACUCUGUUUAUUUUGUUCUUUCAAUCUUUUUUUCCCCAAGUUUCAUUUUAUAGUUUCUAUUGCUGUAUCUUUGGGUUCACUAAUAUUUUCUUUGGUACCUAAUCUGCUGUUAACUUCAUGCAAUAUAUUUUCAUCUUAGACACUAGUCUGGAGUUGUAACGUGAGACUCCAUGUCUUCCACACCUCAGCUCAACGUGCCCAGUUUUUCUUCUGUCUUACUGAACACUUGAGACGUGGUCAUGGUACAUGAUUUUAUAUUCCUGUCUACCAAUUUGCUAUCUGUGGCAUUUCUGGGUUCAAUUCUAUUUAUUGAUUGAUUAUUGACCAUAUUAUGAGUCAGAUUUUCUUGCCUCUUUCCAUUUUGUAGUUUUUAAAUUAAAUCUAGACAUUGUACAUUUACCUCGUUAGUGCUUGAUAUUUUCAUAUAUCUAUAUCUAUGUAUAUAGAGAGCCAUGUUCUGAGAUGCAACUGAGUCUCUUAGUAAAAAGUGAAAGAUUUAUAUGCUCUGAGAAGAAACCAGAGUUGAGUCACUUUUACAGUUUAAUCUUCUUGACGCUUCCCGACUGUUACGCGGGACCAAAAAGCCUGUAGUCGAGGCCCACUUGUUUCCU